AAGCCAUUUUAUGGCGUCUGCUGCCAGACAUUUCAUUAGGUAAGCCUUUACCGUAAAUGGGUGGGGCUAACAGCUAGAACCCGUUUAAAGACUUCCUGUACAAGUUAACCAAUCAGAUGCCAGGCUUUUAGACGACUCAUGGUGACGGUUUCAUUUCACAGCAACAACAGGAUAAACUGCAACUAGCGUCAAAUUACUUCAGUGAACAGGUAACAGCGGCACAUCACAGCGAGCUCCUCUACGCAGAGGAGGGCGUGGGUUGGGCCACCAACAAUGGAAACAGGAAGUAUUACAGAGGAUGGCCAACUCUGGAGCUGAAAGAGCAGCUUCAACCAGCUGGGGGAGAAGAGGAGCGGCGAAACCCAAACGGCCGGCUGUGCGGCCGCCUUUUUUCCUUUUACCUCAGCAAACAUGAAGGAUCGCAUUCAAAGCCAAUAUCAGAAAUGUUUGGAGCUACACAAACUGACCAUUAACAUCUACAAUGCUAUUUAAUAGACUUAAUGUAACCUGCUCUCAUGGACUUCAGACAAAAAGCUCACUUGUGCAACUUUCAAUUUGAAGAAAUAAGCCACAAAUAAAGAUACAUUUACCUAAUAUUGUUUUCCCUUGCUAUUAUGUUAAAUCUAAAAUUAAAUAUAAAUUUAAAAACUAAAGAUUUCAGUUAAUGUUAAUAUCUGAAGCAUAAGCUUGUAUUUCGGGGUCUAUGAAUUUGCAAAUCCCACUCCAGAGGUGUCAGUGCCUCACCAGCCAUGAACCUCAUCACACAACGUAAAGGUAUACGUUUGUAUAAAAGGAACUUAAGUAACAAAGCAGGGACGGUUUGCUCCUGCAAGGCAGCUAAUGCCUCACAGGUUUCAAUAUUUGAUCCACGGGUUAAAGCAGACAGCAACAUUAUAAAAACUAAGCUUUAUUAUCACCAGGUACUCUGUGCCCGUUAAAGUUCUGGUCCAGCCAUUUUAGUAAGUGCA